rnacentral:rRNA from 1 species
CGGCGGACGGGUGAGUAACACGUGGGUAACCUACCUAUAAGACUGGGACAACUUCGGGAAACCGGAGCUAAUACCGGAUAAGAUAUCGAACCGCAUGGUUCGAUAGUGAAAGAUGGUUUUGCUAUCACUUAUAGAUGGACCCGCGCCGUAUUAGCUAGUUGGUGAGGUAACGGCUCACCAAGGCAACGAUACGUAGCCGGCCUGAGAGGGUGAUCGGCCACACUGGAACUGAGACACGGUCCAGACUCCUACGGGAGGCAGCAGAC